rnacentral:rRNA from 1 species
AGAGUAUGAUACCGGCUCAGGACGAACGCUAGCGGCGUGGAUUAGGCAUGCAAGUCGUACGAGAAUCAGUGGCUUCGGCCGCUGAGGAAAGUGGCGAAAGGGUGAGUAACGCGUAGGUAAUCUACCUUUGAGAUAGGGAUAACGGUUCGAAAGGGCCGCUAAUACCUUAUACGAUUGGUGUUCCUUCGGGAUAUCCAAUGAAAGGUGGGAUCUUCGGAUCUGUCGCUCAAAGAUGAGCCUGCGUCCUAUUAGCUAGUUGGUGAGGUAACGGCUCACCAAGGCUACGAUGGGUAGCUAGUCUGAGAGGAUGAUUAGCCACAUUGGGACUGAGACACUGCCCAAACUCCUACGGGAGGCUGCAGUCGAGAAUAUUUCGCAAUGGGGGAAACCCUGACGAUGCGACGCCGCGUGGGGGAUGAAGGUCUUCGGAUUGUAAACCUCUGUGUUAUGGGAAGAAUCGCUGGUGGGUGAUAAGCUCGCUAGCUUGACGGUACCAUAGUAGAAAGCCCCAGCUAACUGCGUGCCAGCAGCUGCGGUAAUACGUGGGGGGCAAGCGUUGUCCGGAUUUACUGGGCGUAAAGCGUGUGUAGGCGGUUACAUAAGUCGAGUGUGAAAUGGCUUGGCUCAACCAAGCAACUGCGCUCGAUACUGUGUGGCUUGAGUACGGAAGAGGAAAGUGGAAUGUAAGGUGUAGCGGUGAAAUGCGUAGAUAUCUUAUAGAACACCUAUGGCGAAGGCAGCUUUCUGGUCCGAUACUGACGCUGAGUACACGAAAGCUUGGGGAGCGAACGGGAUUAGAUACCCCGGUAGUCCAAGCCGUAAACGAUGGGUACUAAGUGUAGGGGGUAUUGAUUCCUCCUGUGCU